CCCCGCCUGGCCCCGCCCGCCGGCCCGCCGGCCCGAGCAGGCCGCGGCGGCGCCCAAACCCUGGCGCUGGAGUGCGAGCCGCCGGACCAGAGCCGGCCUGCCCCCGGGCCGGCCUGAGAAAACCCGGCGCGGAUAAAUUAAAGCGGACGGGCUGCGAAGGGGAAUCCAGAUUGUCCUGUGACCCUCAGGCCGGUCACCUACCCGCUCUGAGCUCCUGCUUCUGAAUCAUGGCAGAAAUUACCCGCGGUCCGGGCUGCCUGUGAGGACGAAAUGAGGGUCCUGGAAGCUAUAAAAACACCAAAAGAAACAUCAUGGGAAAGAAAAUAUUUGUACUCAUGGCUGCAGGCCCUUUCAUCUGUAGAUUUCAAAGCAUUUUCUCCAUCAGUAAUUACUAGCCCUGCUUAGCACGUGUGAAUGUGAGACACCAUCAAAUUAAGAAGCUUGCCCUAAAUCACAAGGCAAGUCAGAAGAUAGGCUGCAAAGAGACAAAGCUGUCCUGUUUGCCAGGCCUGGGCUGUAAAGUAGGACACAUGAGAGUCAACAGAAGGCUUCAAGUAAUGGGGGGAAAGUUUGGGGAACUCUAAUUCUGCAGCUUUGAAUCAGUGCAGUGACACAGCAUGGGCUCAGAGUCCAGUUUGACUUAAAAUCUUAGCCCCUUACUGGCUGCAUAAUCUCAACCAAAUCUUAAACUAAGUCUUGGCUUCCUUCUCUGUAAAAUGGGAAUAUUAAUUCUUACUUCUCAGGGUUUGAGGGAAAGAGAAUGAUGCAACUUUUGUGAAAGAGCCUGGACAGUGUCUGGCCCUUCUCAGGUGCUGAUUAUGUUGGUUCCUAUAGUUAGAGAAAAUGAAAACAUCCCUCCACCACACAUAAUGAAAAAUAGACAACUCUUUCAGUCAAAGAUUUUCUAUGCCAUGAUCACAGUGUGUCUCAGUUUAAAACCGUGGCUGUGUGUCCAACAUCUCGCAUUAAAAUGCAAAUAGAGGAUGCCUUGUUCAUGCCUUCAUUGCGUUUGUUCCUUGAUUCUGCGCUUUCUCUGUCAGCAAGUUCUGUUGAGUCAAUCUCCCAUAUAUAUUCAAGAUUCUAAUUCUACCGUAAAAAUAUAAACAUAUCUGACCACUUCUCACUCUCCCCACUGUCACUUUCUUUUGAAACAUUGUUAGAGUUCCUUAGCCCACUUCCAUAUUUGUGUCUGCAUCCACUCUCCAUGUCAUAGAUAAAGUGAUCUUUUUAAUACUAAAUUGAGUUGCUGGCGUAUAGUGCAGCAAGUUAAGCCACUGCCUGCAAAAACAGCUUUCUCAUAUCAGAGUGCUGGGUCAAGUCCUAGCUACUCCACUUCCAAUCCAACUUCCUGCUAUUAGUGUCUGAAAAGGUAGCAAAAAGAUGAGCCUAAGUCCCUGGGACCUGGCCACCCAUUUGAGAGACCAGGAUGGAGUUCCUGACUCCUGGCUUCGGCAUGGCUCAGACCUGACUGCAGCCAUUUAGGGAGUGAACCAGUAAAUAGAAGAUCUCUUUCUCUCUCUUUCAAAUAAAUAAAUAUUUAAAAAAAAAAGAAAGAAAGAAAGAAAAUGGAUGUUAUAAUUUCCCUGUGGGAAAUUCUUUGCUGGAGAUGGAGGUGGUAGGGAAGUGGACAGGCAAGCAUUGUGGUGGGCACCCUGGAGGCAGCAGAUAAUGGCUUAAAUACUCAGGUCCCUGCUACCCACAUGGGAGUCCCAGAUGGACUUCUUGGCCCCUUCCUGGCCCCAGACAGUCAAACUGUGUAAACACAAGAGUAGCAUCAUAUUUGCAUUUAGCUGUAUGAGAAUCUAUUUAUAUAUCCUCAGUGAUUACUGCUGUAAGAAAGUGUCUAUAUGCAAGGCAAAUAUCUCAACUGGUAGCCACUAAAAAUACAAGGCUUUCACCUAAUGCUGCUGGCAGAAGUUGACUGUGUUGAGCUUAUGCAGACAUAAUAUACCUGUAUAUUAUACAGAAUGAAUAUCUUUAAGGAUUUUUUAAGGAUAAUUUUGACAUUAUACAAUUUCUGGCUUUCUAACUGGAAAGCUUAACCUCAAAUGAGAUACAACUGUUCUACUUGUAAGAUUAUAUAAAUUAUAUGUGAAUUGUAAGUUGGUGAAAUGGAAGAUAUAAAGGGUUUAAUGCAUAACUUAGUGUCAAAAAGGCCUAGAUUCAAAUCCUGGCUCUGCUUCUGAGAACCUCUGCUUCCUUAACCUCUGUCAACCUAAUCUGUGAAAUGGAGAAUGAUAUUUUCUACCUCACUGAUCAGCUAUAAAGCUGAAAUGACAAUGUUAUAUGAAAAGUUUGUCAUACAACAAAUGUUCUGCAAACUACAUUUUUGGUAUUUUCUCUUAAAUUAGAAACCUAGGGGCUGGCAUCGUGGCACAGUGGGUUAAGCCACUGCUUUUUGUGAUGCUGGCAUCCCAUUUGAGUGCCAGUUUGAGUCCCAGCUGCUCUGCUUUUGAUUCAGCUCUCUGCUAAUGUGCCUGGGAAAGCAGCAGCAGAUGGCCCAAGUAUAUGGGCCCCUGCCAUCCACGUGGGAGACCCAGAUGGAGUUCUGGGCUUCUGGCUUCGACCUGGUCCAGCCCUGGCUGUUGCAGCCAUUUAGAGAGUGAACCAGUGGAUAGAAGAUUUUUUUCUCCCUCUGUCUCUCCUCUCUGUCACUCUACCUUUCAAAUACAUAAAAUAAAUCUUUAGAAAAAUAUUCAAUAAAAUACAUAAAAAAAUGCAUUUUAGAAAACCGAUUGCUUUUGAAAGAUUAUAAAUCUAAAAUUCUAAAUAAAAAAUUUCCUCUAUAAUUAAAUGUCUACACAAAGACUACUCUGAACAUUUGUUUCUAUUUAACAAGCAAAUAUUCUGAUCAUAGGCUACAACAAUUAUUCUUAUAUAUAUAUAUGUAUAUAUAUGGCCAAAAGAAUCAAAAAGAGAAGCAGGAAUUGUGGUGAGUGGUUAAGACACUUCUGCAGGAGCUGGCGCUGUGGCAUAGCGGGUAAAGCCACCACCUGCAGGGCUGGCAUCCCAUAAAGGCACUGGUUUGAGUCCUGGCUGCUCCAUUUCCAAUCCAGCUCUCUGCUAGGGCCUGGGAAAGCAGUAGAAAAUGGCCCAAGUCCUUGGGCCCCUGCACCUGCAUAGGACACCUGGAAGAAGCUCUUGGCUCCUGGCUUCUGAGAGGCGCAGCUCCAACCAUUACAGACAAUUGGAGAGUGAACAAGUGUAUGGAAGACUUUCUCUCUCUCUCUCUCUCUCUCUCUUUGCCUCUCGUUCUUUCUCUAUAUAACUCUAACUUUCAAAUAAAUAAAUAAAUCUUUAAAAACAAAAACAGACAUCUCUGCCUCAUUUACGUACCAGCUGCUCAGCACUUCUGAUCCAGCUUCCUGCUAAUGUGCCUGGGAGGCACCACUUGAUGGCCCAAGUAUUUGAGUUCCUGCUACCUAAGUGGGAAACCCUGAUGUAGUUUUGGUUCCUGAUAUUGGCCUGGCCUACCCCUGGCUGUUGCAACCAUUUGGGGAAUAAACCAGCAGAAGAAGAUUUCUCCCUCUCUGUCAUUCUGCCUCUCAAAUAAGUAAUUAAAUCUUAAAAAAAAAAAAAAGCAUAUGCCUACAUACAAAUUUGUAUACAAAUAUUCAUAGUAGCCAGCGCCGUGGCUCAGUAGGCUAAUCCUCCGCCUUGCGGCUCCAGCACACCGGGUUCUAGUCCCAGUCGGGGCGCCGGAUUCUGUCCUGGUUGCCCCUCUUCCAGGCCAGCUCUCUGCUAUGGCCCGGGAGUGCAGUGGAGGAUGGCCCAGGUGCUUGGGCCCUGCACCCCAUGGGAGACCAGGAAAAGCACCUGGCUCCUGGCUCCUGCCAUCGGAUCAGCGCGGUGCGCCGGCUGCAGCGGCGGCCAUUGGAGGGUGAACCAACGGCAAAGGAAGACCUUUCUCUCUGUCUCUCUCUCUCUCACUGUCCACUCUGCCUGUCAAAAAAAAAAAAAAAAAAAAAAACCUCCAGACUUAGCAAUGCAGAGGUCUUUGGUGACCUUGGUCACAACAGUUUCCAUGGAGGGAGGGGACAAAGCCUAUUUAAUGUGGACUGAAAAGAGAAUGAAAGGAGAUGACUCAGAGUCAA